UUAGAUGAAAGAUGGUUCUGCUAUCGCUUUUAGAUGGACCCGCGGCGUAUUAACUAGUUGGUGGGGUAACGGCCUACCAAGGUGAUGAUACGUAGCCGAACUGAGAGGUUGAUCGGCCACAUUGGGACUGAGACACGGCCCAAACUCCUACGGGAGGCAGCAGUAGGGAAUCUUCCACAAUGGACGCAAGUCUGAUGGAGCAACGCCGCGUGAGUGAAGAAGGUCUUCGGAUCGUAAAACUCUGUUGUUAGAGAAGAACACGAGUGAGAGUAACUGUUCAUUCGAUGACGGUAUCUAACCAGCAAGUCACGGCUAACUACGUGCCAGCAGCCGCGGUAAUACGUAGGUGGCAAGCGUUGUCCGGAUUUAUUGGGCGUAAAGGGAACGCAGGCGGUCUUUUAAGUCUGAUGUGAAAGCCUUCGGCUUAACCGGAGUAGUGCAUUGGAAACUGGAAGACUUGAGUGCAGAAGAGGAGAGUGGAACUCCAUGUGUAGCGGUGAAAUGCGUAGAUAUAUGGAAGAACACCAGUGGCGAAAGCGGCUCUCUGGUCUGUAACUGACGCUGAGGUUCGAAAGCGUGGGUAGCAAACAGGAUUAGAUACCCUGGUAGUCCACGCCGUAAACGAUGAAUGCUAGGUGUUGGAGGGUUUCC
rnacentral:rRNA from 2 species